AAACAACAUAUUUAUGUUGGUUAAUAUAUUUGUAUCAUCCAUAGAAACUACAAAGACAGCAACCAUUCAAGGGAUGCCAUUCAUUUUGGAUACUGACGCUAGUGGCACCGCCAUAGGAGGUGUUCUGUCUCGGAAGAUGGGUGGGAAAGAAAAGGUUCUAGCUUACUUCAGCAGUACACUUGCGAGCGCUAUUACUGCGUCACUUAUCGAGAGCUGCUCGCUGUGGUGAGAACUGUAAAGAAGUUCCGGUGUCCCGUUCCCCAAAAAAAUCGUUCUCAUUGUACAAACUGCGCAUGCGCAUGAAGUGGUGGUCACGUGAUUAGCAUUUUCCACAGCGUCGAUGAAAUAUUUAUUCCGCUUGCAAGAUGCACUUCAUUUUAUAUAUGUGCUAAAUGUUGUCAGGAAUACCUAUUUAUGUUUUUUCGUUGUUAACGUAUUGAGUGUCAUGGCAUUCUCGCACUGGUAGAUGUUAGAUUUAGUUGGAGGUAUAAGCACAAAUUUUUACGAGUGGCCUCUCUCAUCUGUGGUAUAAGUCUAUAAGCUUUUUACCGCUUUUGUGUUAUUAGACCAGAACACUUUUAGGCCUACUCUACGCGCGAACCUUACAAUUAAACCCAAAGUCCAAUCCAGGCACAACCAAACCAAUAAACAAACUAUUGAAUAAACUUUUAACAAAUGGAAAAGAAAAAUGAAAUGAUGAUUAAUUAACAGUUAAUGCAGUCAUAUAAAUAAAUGCUGCCAAAUUUUACUUUUGUAACAUAAACGUCACAAUAAUAAUUCGAACGUACGUAACAAAGGUUUGUAUGUUGUCAUCAACUUUAUUAAAAUAUUAAGCACAUUUUACAUGUACAGUCAAUCCCGUAGUUUAUACACAAUAUGUUUCAUAAGAGAUAAAAGUAUAUAUUAAAAAUAAGGCAGAUGAAAAAAAUUGCAUAUUGUUGUAUAUGCAACGGCGUAUUUAGUCGUUGGAGUGGAACUGUUUUUACGAAUGUCGUCAUCAAGGGUCAAAGGUCAAUGGGAACGAUUUUUGCGGGGGAACGAUUUUUUUCUGACACCGGCCUUACUUCGUUUUAUCUCUGAU